rnacentral:rRNA from 1 species
AGAACGAACGCUGGCGGCAUGCCUAAUACAUGCAAGUCGAACGAACACUUCGGUGUUAGUGGCGCACGGGUGCGUAACGCGUGGGAAUCUGCCCUUGGGUUCGGAAUAACAGUUGGAAACGACUGCUAAUACCGGAUGAUAUCGAAAGAUCAAAGAUUUAUCGCCCAGGGAUGAGCCCGCGUAGGAUUAGCUAGUUGGUGAGGUAAAGGCUCACCAAGGCGACGAUCCUUAGCUGGUCUGAGAGGAUGAUCAGCCACACUGGGACUGAGACACCGGCCCAGACU